rnacentral:rRNA from 1 species
GCAUAUCAAUAAGCGGAGGAAAAGAAACCAACAGGGAUUGCCUCAGUAACGGCGAGUGAAGCGGCAACAGCUCAAAUUUGAAAUCUGGCCCUCGGGUCCGAGUUGUAAUUUGUAGAGGAUGCUUUUGGCGCGGUGCCUUCCGAGUUCCCUGGAACGGGACGCCUUAGAGGGUGAGAGCCCCGUACGGUUGGACACCAAGCCUCUGUAAAGCUCCUUCGACGAGUCGAGUAGUUUGGGAAUGCUGCUCUAAAUGGGAGGUAAAUUUCUUCUAAAGCUAAAUAUUGGCCAGAGACCGAUAGCGCACAAGUAGAGUGAUCGAAAGAUGAAAAGCACUUUGAAAAGAGGGUUAAAUAGCACGUGAAAUUGUUGAAAGGGAAGCGUUUGCGACCAGACCUUUUCCUGGCGGAUCAUCCGGUGUUCUCACCGGUGCACUUCGCCAGGUCGAGGCCAGCAUCGGUUUCCGCGGGGGGAUAAAAGCUCUGGGAACGUAGCUCCUCCGGGAGUGUUAUAGCCCUCUGCACAAUACCCCCGCGGGGACCGAGGACCGCGCUCUAAGCAAGGAUGCUGGCGUAAUGGUUGUCAACGACCCGUCUUGAAACACGGACCAAGGAGUCGAACAUUUGUGCGAGUGUUUGGGUGUCAAACCCUCACGCGUAAUGAAGGUGAACGUAGGUGAGAGCCCUUACGGGUGCAUCAUCGACCGAUCCUGAUGUCUUCGGAUGGAUUUGAGUAAGAGCAUAACUGUUCGGACCCGAAAGAUGGUGAACUAUGCGUGGAUAGGGUGAAGCCAGAGGAAACUCUGGUGGAGGCUCGCAGCGGUUCUGACGUGCAAAUCGAUCGUCAAAUCUGCGCAUGGGGGCGAAAGACUUAUCGAACCAUCUAGUAGCUGGUUACCGCCGAA